UACGAAGGGGGCUAUCGUUGCUCGGAAUGACUGGGCGUAAAGGGCGCGUAGGCGGUUUUGACAGUCAGGCGUGAAAUUCCUGGGCUCAACCUGGGGGCUGCGUUUGAUACCUCGGGACUGGAGUGCGGAAGAGGGUCGUGGAAUUCCCAGUGUAGAGGUGAAAUUCGUAGAUAUUGGGAAGAACACCGGUGGCGAAGGCGGCGACCUGGUCCGUGACUGACGCUGAGGCGCGAAAGCGUGGGGAGCAAACAGG
rnacentral:rRNA from 1 species